rnacentral:rRNA from 1 species
GGGUGAGUAACACGUGAGUAACCUGCCCUUGACUUUGGAAUAACUUCAGGAAACUGGGGCUAAUACCGGAUAGGAGCUCCUGCUGCAUGGUGGGGGUUGGAAAGUUUCGGCGGCUGGGGAUGGACUCGCGGCUUAUCAGCUUGUUGGUGGGGUAGUGGCUUACCAAGGCUUUGACGGGUAGCCGGCCUGAGAGGGUGACCGGCCACAUUGGGACUGAGAUACGGCCCAG